rnacentral:tRNA from 1 species
GUCUGGGUGGCUCAGUCAGUUGGGCAUCUGACUUUGACUCAGAUCAUGAUCUCGUGGUCUGUGAGUUCAAGCCCCACAUCAGGCU